UUCAAAGAAUCAAUUUCUUCUGCAAAUGAAAGAACUCAGUGGGGAAACCCCCACUCAGCUCCCGAUUCGGCGUGCACCCAAGAAUCACGAAUAGAACA
rnacentral:pre_miRNA from 7 species